rnacentral:rRNA from 1 species
AACGCGAAGAACCUUACCUGGGUUAGACAACGUCGGACAACUCUAGAGAUAGAGUCUCCCCUUCGGGGGCCGGCGGUAUAGGUGCUGCAUGGCUGUCGUCAGCUCGUAUCGUGAGAUGUCGGGUUAAGUCCCUUAACGAGCGCAACCCUUGUCCCUAGUUGCCAUCAUUUAGUUGGGCACUCUAAGGAGACUGCCGGUGUUAAACCGGAGGAAGGUGGGGAUGACGUCAAGUCCUCAUGGCCCUUAUGUCCAGGGCUACACACGUGCUACAAUGGCCGGUACAGAGGGUCGCCAACCCGCAAGGGGGAGCUAAUCUCAGAAAGCCGGUCUCAGUUCGGAUUGAAGUCUGCAACUCGACUUCAUGAAGCUGGAAUCGCUAGUAAUCGCGGAUCAGAACGCCGCGGUGAAUACGUUCCCGGGCCUUGUACACACCGCGAGC